rnacentral:tRNA from 1 species
GCCAGUGUUGCUCAGUGGUUAGAGUGUUGGCCCACACACCAAAGGAUUGCAGGUUUGAUUCCUGGUCAAGGGCA